rnacentral:rRNA from 1 species
GGAAGGGGUGUAUUUAUUAGAUAAAAAACCAAUGCCUUCUGGCUUCUUGGUGAUUCAUAAUAACUUAACGAAUCGCAUGGCCUUGCGCUGGCGAUGGUUCAUUCAAAUUUCUGCCCUAUCAACUUUCGAUGGUAGGAUAGUGGCCUACCAUGGUUUCAACGGGUAACGGGGAAUUAGGGUUCUAUUCCGGAGAGGGAGCCUGAGAAACGGCUACCACAUCCAAGGAAGGCAGCAGGCGCGCAAAUUACCCAAUCCCGACACGGGGAGGUAGUGACAAUAAAUACUGAUACAGGGUUCUUUUGGAUCUUGUAAUUGGAAUGAGUACAAUUUAAAUCCCUUAACGAGGAACAAUUGGAGGGCAAGUCUGGUGCCAGCAGCCGCGGUAAUUCCAGCUCCAAUAGCGUAUAUUAAAGUUGUUGCAGUUAAAAAGCUCGUAGUUGAACCUUGGGCCUGGUUGGUCGGUCCGCCUAACCGCGUGCACUGAUUCGACCGGGUCUUUCCUUCUGGCUAUCCUCAUGCUCUUCACUGGGUGUGGUGGGGAACCAGGACUAAUCG